rfam:Erythrobacter sp. SG61-1L scaffold_1, whole genome shotgun sequence.
ACUGCGGACCGGGCCCCUCUGGCGCGGCUCCAGCCUCUAAGGGCUGAGCUGCGUGAUGUCGGACCGCAUCG